rnacentral:rRNA from 1 species
ACAGGCGGUGGAGCAUGUGGUUUAAUUCGAAGCAACGCGAAGAACCUUACCAGGCCUUGACAUGCAGAGAACUUUCCAGAGAUGGAUUGGUGCCUUCGGGAACGUCUGACACAGGUGCUGCAUGGCUGUCGUCAGCUCGUGUCGUGAGAUGUUGGGUUAAGUCCCGUAACGAGCGCAACCCUUGUCCUUAGUUACCAGCACGUUAUGGCGGGCACUCUAAGGAGACUGCCGGUGACAAACCGGAGGAAGGUGGGGAGUGACGUCAAGUCAUCAUGGCCCUUACGGCCUGGGCUACACACGUGCUACAAUGGUCGGUGCAAAGGGUUGCCAAGCCGCGAGGUGGAGCUAAUCCCAUAAAACCGAUCGUAGUCCGGAUCGCAGUCUGCAACUCGACUGCGUGAAGUCGGAAUCGCUAGUAAUCGUGAAUCAGAAUGUCACGGUGAAUACGUUCCCGGGCCUU